rnacentral:rRNA from 1 species
GUCCACGCCGUAAACGUUGGGCACUAGGUGUGGGUUUCAACCAACGAAAUCCGCGCCGUCGCUAACGCAUUAAGUGCCCCGCCUGGGGAGUACGGCCGCAAGGUUAAACUCAAAGGAAUUGACGGGGCCCGCACAAGCAGCGGAGCGUGUUGCUUAAUUCGAUGCAACGCGAAGAACCUUACCUGGGCUUGACAUGUACGGAAAAGCCGUAGAGAUACGGUGUCCUUCGGGGCCGUACACAGGUGGUGCAUGGCUGUCGU